AAAACAUCGCCUCCUGCAACAAACCAAGUAUAAGAGGUCCAGCCUGCCCAGUGACCAAAAGUUUAACGGCCGCGGUAUCCUAACCGUGCAAAGGUAGCGCAAUCACUUGUCUUUUAAAUAAAGACCUGUAUGAAUGGCCAAACGAGGGCUUAACUGUCUCCCUUAUCAAGUCAGUAAAAUUGAUCUACCCGUGCAGAAGCGGGUAUAAAUAUACAAGACGAGAAGACCCUUUGGAGCUUAAGGUAAAAAUUCACCCACGUCAAGCAGCUCAACAUAAAAGCAGACUCCUUUUUAAACCUUGUGGAUAAUGAAAUAAUACCUUCGGUUGGGGCGACCAUGGAGAAAAAGAAAACCUCCAAGUGGAAUGGGACCACCCCUAAAGCUAAGAGAGACAUCUCUAAGCCACAGAACAUCUGACCAUAAAUGAUCCGGCUAAUUAAUAGCCGAUCAACGAACCAAGUUACCCUAGGGAUAACAGCGCAAUCCUCUCCAAGAGACCAUAUCGACGAGAGGGUUUACGACCUCGAUGUUGGAUCAGGACAUCCUAAUGGUGCAGCCGCUAUUAAGGGUUCGUUUGUUCAACGAUUAAAGUCCUACGUGA
rnacentral:rRNA from 1 species